rnacentral:rRNA from 1 species
CCUACGGGAGGCUGCAGUGAGGAAUAUUGGUCAAUGGGCGCGAGCCUGAACCAGCCAAGUAGCGUGAAGGAUGACUGCCCUACGGGUUGUAAACUUCUUUUAUCAAGGAAUAAAGUGAGGCACGUUUGCCUUUUUGUAUGUACUUUAUGAAUAAGGAUCGGCUAACUCCGUGCCAGCAGCCGCGGUAAUACGGAGGAUCCGACCGUUUUCCGGAUUUAUUGGGUUUAAAGGGAGCGUAGAUGGGUUGUUAAGUCAGUUGUGAAAGUUUGCGGGUCAACCGUAAAAUUGCAAUUGAUACUGGCAGUCUUGAGUACAGGUGAGGUAGGCGGAAUUCGUGGUGUAGCGGUGAAAUGCUUAGAUAUCACGAAGAACUCCGAUUGCGAAGGCAGCAUACUAAUCUGCCACUGACAUUGAGGCUCGAAAGUGUGGGUAUCAAACAGGAUUAGAUACCCUUGUAGUC